GUUAAAAUAGUUUAAAAAAAACCCUGUGUUGUGACCACAAAAUUGUAUACCUAUUACUUUUAACC
rnacentral:tRNA from 1 species